rnacentral:rRNA from 1 species
GACGAACGCUGGCGGCAAGCUUGACACAUGCAAGUCGAACGCCGUAGCAAUACGGAGUGGCAGACGGGUGAGUAACACGUGGGAACGUGCCUUUCGGUUCGGAACAACUGAGGGAAACUUCAGCUAAAACCGGAUACGCCCUUCGGGGGAAAGUUUACGCCGAAAGAUCGGCCCGCGUCAGAUUAGGUAGUUGGCGGGGUAAUGGCCCACCAAGCCGAUGAUCUGUAGCUGUUCUGAGAGGAAGAUCAGCCACACUGGGACUGAGACACGGCCCAGACUCCUACGGGAGGCAGCAGUGGGGAAUAUUGGACAAUGGGCGCAAGCCUGAUCCAGCUAUGCCGCGUGGAUGAAGAAGGCCUUCGGGUUGUAAAGUCCUUUCGGCGGGGAAGAUAAUGACGGUACCCGCAGAAGAAGCCCCGGCUAAUUUCAUGCCAGCCGCCGCAGUAAGAC